UUUACCACUUCAAUGCGUUUCAUUGUAGUGAGAACGAGAUGAAAAGUGAGCUUGAUCAAGAUUUGUUGCCAUUGAGCUAACAAUGUUUGAGAUAGUACUGACACAUUAAAUGUAUAUGCAAGAACCUACUAGUCUAAACGUAUACAACUUAAAUGAGCCUAAUAUGCUUAUGUAUUUCUCUCUAUAAUCAAAUCAAAUUUGGCGCAAAAAGCAAGAUGUUAUUAUUCGUACUUUGUAAAGCAUGUAUAACAAGUUUUUGCAUUAUUUUUUUUAGUAUAUUUUUUAAUGCUAAUAAACAGUUUUGCAUGAAUACGUUUUAAUUGACUUUAAUAAAUCACAACUAUUGUGAAUUAACAUACUCGGAUAUGUGAGCAUGAAUUUUGCAAAAAGUCCUCUUAAGCAAACAAGCUUUUAAGAAUUACUUCAUUAUAAUCUUCAUCUAUUUAAAUAAAUAUAGUAAAAAAUAUUAUCACUGGUAGUCAAGUGUUCUAUCAUUCUUGCAUUUUAAUUUUGCAUGACAAAUAGAUGAUAAGAUAUCGUCUUUUAUAAGCUUCACUAUGCCCUUUUAAUUUUUAUCAAUAUUCAUCAGUUAAUUAUAGGUAUUUAUCGGCAAUAAGUACUAAUAAUCAGCAUGCAAAGUAACGAGGUUUAUAUAAUUAAUACUUUAAAAAAAUUGAAGUUUUCUAAUUUUCAUUAACUUUUUAAAAUAUAAUUGAAUAAAUUAAAUUAUUCAAUAAAAGUAAAACAAUUUGAAUAAAAAUUAAGAUUAAAUAUAUUAAUUUUAUGUGAAAUGCAGUUUCCACAUCGUUACUAUUUCAGGCUUUAUCUAAGUUCAUUAUCUUUGCUUGAAAUUUGCUGGUUCUUGUAUUUUUACCAGAUUAAUUCGACAUUUACCAUAAUACAUAAUCCAGCGAUUUGUUGGAAUAGUAGUUGGAGUUUUGGCAACAGUAGCAAUACUGCUACUGGGUUUUGUUUGUAUAUCUUUACGACCACCCAGCCUUUUUAAUCUAACAUCGCUUGGGUCGCCGAUAUGUAAUGGAUUUUUUCGAUGAUUAUAAAAUGAAACCAUUUCAGAAUACAAAAAUUUAAGUAUGCAUUUUUAUCUAAUUUGCUUAAUUUCUAAUAUGAUGUCUUAGAUUUGAAUAUCUGUAAUUUUUUAUUGUAGACGUAGAAGCAAUAGCUUUUGCCGACGUCAUUACUCGCUAGGUAGCGUGCGUGCACUUAAGGAAAUAAAAAAAAAUUAAAAUGGCGGGCAAUUUAAACAGUAGGCGGUGCAACGUUUUAAUUUCGAGCUUGCUCAAAGAGGGGCAGCAUGUAGGGGAAUGAAGAUUGAUCUGAUCGAGAGGAGAGCCAUGGCUGAGAAGUAGACAUGCCUGCGGCACAUUAUUGUUCCCAAAUCCCCGCGUAUGUUGGGCCAAUGUUUGACCAAUGUCAUCGGUUACAAUGAACCAACGUUGGCAAUUUUGUUCAUCGGUCCAACGUUGGCCUAAUAAUACACAAACCAUGAUAAACAUCCUUAGAAAGAAAAAAUGGCCGAUGGUGUGUUAUGGCAAGCAUAGUUUCACAAGCAAAAACCACGAGUCUCUUUGUUUGCUAAACCUGCUAAAUGUGAGCAGAUCCAUCCCAACAGAUCAGAUAUUACAAUUACGGAUACCAUAGAAACUGGCCAGUCUCACGCUGUGAAAACUCCGUCCUAAUUGUUCGGUCAGUAAAUGUGCUCUUAUCUCAGGAUCGGCUUCUUAUAAUUCUACACUUAAGAACAAUUAUGCAAUAUCCAAUUAUUUUGCAGAAUCUUUUUGGUUCGGCUUUUUUACGCGCGUUUUUGAUUUUGACUUGUAUAUUUUCACUUGUUUUCGUUGAUGAUAUAAUAGCCAUUAUUGAUAUAUUUAGGCUUAAAAUUAUUUAAACAUCCAAAUAUUUCGGAAUUCUAUUAUAUAUAUUAAAUGUUUCAAUGUUUUUUGUAGAUAAAUGAAUAACCUGGAAUAUAUGUAAUCGACAAAAAAAUCUUAACAUACGACAUACGUUAGACCAAUAUUUGGCCAAUAUCAUGGUCUCACCUAAAAUGAUUAAUGUAACUUUAGCCUAGACUCUAAUACUCCAAAUAUCUAAGUAUUCCUUGUUUUUUUUAAACUGAUUUUGAAUUAAUUAAUUAAACUAAUUAAAAUUGGUUUAAUAGGCCAAGAAAACCUCAGAUCUUUUGGACUAUAUUUUGUCAUUGUACAUGUACAGGUUAACACAUGUGUAUCAAGGUCUACGGAUUGUAUUACUCUCUAGAAAUUUCAGGCUUGAAUUGCAUGACAGAUAUAAGAAUUUCAGAGAAGAUUCCAUCAAAAUUCCAGAGCCAUUAGAUGUAUUCUGGCCUAUAACUGGUUUCCAGCAACUCAGACCAGAACACAAGCCAAUGCACAGUUACCAUAUCACCAGAUUGAACAAUACUUUCUGUCUAGAAUGAAGACAAACAGAUGAUAUCGAACCUUAAAGCAUUGGAAAAGGGAAAGGACCACCUAACUGGAGAGAGAAUUUUUUAAUGCAGCAUUAGGUAAACUACUAGAAGUAGAGAGAAGCUCUUGGAAAAGAAAACACACCGAUGAAAUGCUGGAGGAUUUAAGGAAAGACAAGUCUCUUCAAAAGAUGCCAAGGACAUAGGGGAAUCUACAAGGAUGCAAGCCAAGAGUAAAACCUAAUGCUUGUUCGAUAGAAGAAAAUUUGUUAAUUACUGCCUCACGUUUCGGUGACAUUGUAAAAAAUGAUUUGCUGCAGAGACACUAGAAAAUUGUAUUCUAGCAUUUACCAACAUACGAUACGUCAAUCAUCACAUAUACCAGUAUUUAUAGUAGGCAGCAUGAGAGUAGAGCAAUUUCCAUGUUUGAAGAACUGACUCAUUUCAAUGUCUCAAGAGUGUGGGUUGUGUCUGUCAAAUACCCUUACCUUGCUACACCAGAUGUUUUAGUAGGGAAUGGAGCCAUGGUAGAAGUUAAAUGCCCAUAUGGUGGUAGAGAUGAUGAUAUUCUUUCUGUGAAGAAAUUCCCAAUUUUUGUUGAACCAAAUGGUAAAAUUACAUUGUAAUCAAGUCAUAAAUACCAUGACCAAAUCCAAGACUACUGUAUAUUUCAGGUACAAUACUCUGCUACUUCAUUGUAUACACAUUUUGUAACAUUUUGAUCUUGAAACUUGAAUAUGAUGAUGAAUAUUAUCUGUUUAGUUUAUUGCUAAAACUAGAAAUGUUCUACAAGAAACAUUUCAGACCAAAUGUUGCUUCUUGUUUGUAAUAAGCGUAUAUUCUAUUAGUUUUCAUGCACAUGUAAGCUUAUUAACAUAUUAUACACUUCAUUGUUGAAGUUUUUUGGUGCACUAGAUAUAGCAGAAAGAAGAUAGAAUGUACAUUUUUGAUGCAGUGGCUUGGUAUUUGCAUCUUCAUUUGAAGUUACAUUAAACUCAUUCUUUUUUGUAACAUAAGUCAAUCAGUAAUACUACUGUUCUGUAUGAAUAUAAUAUACAAUUAUACCCCCGCUCCGAAAGGGGGGAGAUAUACUUUUUUACCCUUAUGUGUCUGUCUGGCUAUCGGUAUUAAAUAUCUGCAAAUUUUAUUUCAGAAAAUAUUAACUGCAGCUGCUUUAAAUUUUAACACUCUUUAUUAAAUAUGCCAUAUGGUGGGAUUCAUUUCAAAUUCAUAACAAAUUCAAUAUCAACCUCAAGUUAAAUUUAUGUUUAUUCAUUAUAUAUUACUAGAAAUGUGAGAGAAGAAAACUGAAGAUGUAGUUCAAUAAAAUUUUAUCAUCUCUUGAUCUGUACAAAUUUGAAUUUAAUUAUUUGACAUUUGUAAUUGUUAAUGUUUUUAUCUUAACAAUACCAGUAAUUAAAACAGACUCUUGUUAU